GCGGCGGACGGGUGAGUAACACGUGGGCAACCUGCCUGUAAGACUGGGAUAACUUCGGGAAACCGAAGCUAAUACCGGAUAGGAUCUUCUCCUUCAUGGGAGAUGAUUGAAAGAUGGUUUCGGCUAUCACUUACAGAUGGGCCCGCGGUGCAUUAGCUAGUUGGUGAGGUAACGGCUCACCAAGGCAACGAUGCAUAGCCGACCUGAGAGGGUGAUCGGCCACACUGGGACUGAGACACGGCCCAGACUCCUACGGGAGGCAGCAGUAGGGAAUCUUCCGCAAUGGACGAAAGUCUGACGGAGCAACGCCGCGUGAGUGAUGAAGGCUUUCGGGUCGUAAAACUCUGUUGUUAGGGAAGAACAAGUACGAGAGUAACUGCUCGUACCUUGACGGUACCUAACCAGAAAGCCACGGCUAACUACGUGCCAGCAGCCGCGGUAAUACGUAGGUGGCCAGCGUUAUCCGGAAUUAUUGGGCGUAAAGCGCGCGCAGGCGGUUUCUUAAGUCUGAUGUGAAAGCCCACGGCUCAACCGUGGAGGGUCAUUGGAAACUGGGGAACUUGAGUGCAGAAGAGAAAAGCGG
rnacentral:rRNA from 2 species